CAGUCGCCACGGUAAUACGUAGGUGGCAAGCGUUGUCCGGAAUUAUUGGGCGUAAAGCGCGCGCAGGCGGCUUCCCAAGUCCCUCUUAAAAGUGCGGGGCUUAACCCCGUGAUGGGAAGGAAACUGGGAAGCUGGAGUAUCGGAGAGGAAAGUGGAAUUCCUAGUGUAGCGGUGAAAUGCGUAGAGAUUAGGAAGAACACCGGUGGCGAAGGCGACUUUCUGGACGAAAACUGACGCUGAGGCGCGAAAGCGUGGGGAACAAACAGGAUUAGAUACCCGUGUAGUCCCUGUCUCUUAUACA
rnacentral:rRNA from 1 species